rnacentral:rRNA from 1 species
AGUGAACGCUGGCGGUAGGCCUAACACAUGCAAGUCGAACGGCAGCACAGGAGAGCUUGCUCUCUGGGUGGCGAGUGGCGGACGGGUGAGGAAUACAUCGGAAUCUACUCUGUCGUGGGGGAUAACGUAGGGAAACUACGCUAAUACCGCAUACGACCUACGGGUGAAAGCAGGGGACCUUCGGGCCUUGCGCGAUUGAAUGAGCCGAUGUCGGAUUAGCUAGUUGGCGGGGUAAAGGCCCACCAAGGCGACGAUCCGUAGCUGGUCUGAGAGGAUGAUCAGCCACACUGGAACUGAGACACGGUCCAGACUCCGACGGGAGGCAGCAGUGGGGAAUAUUGGACAAUGGGCGCAAGCCGGAUCCAGCCACACCGCGUGGGUGAAGAAGGCCUUCGGGUUGUAAAGCCCUUUUGUUGGGAAAGAAAUCCAGCUGGCUAAUACCCGGUUGGGAUGACGGUACCCAAAGAAUAAGCACCGGCUAACUUCGUGCCAGCCGCCGCGGUAA